rnacentral:rRNA from 1 species
GAUGAACGCUGGCGGCGUGCUUAACACAUGCAAGUCGAACGAAGCACUUUAUUUGAUUUCCUUCGGGACUGAUUAUUUUGUGACUGAGUGGCGGACGGGUGAGUAACGCGUGGGUAACCUGCCUUGUACAGGGGGAUAACAGUUGGAAACGGCUGCUAAUACCGCAUAAGCGCCAGGCAUCCCAUGAUGCAGUGUGAAAAACUCCGGUGGGAUACGAUGGACCCGCGUUGGAUUGGCAAGUUGGUGUGGUAACGGCCCACCAAGGCGACGUUCGAUAGCCGACAAGAGAGAGUCGGCGGAGACUUUGGGGGUAGGAAGCGGUGGGGAAUCCUACGCGAGGCGGCAGUGGGUAAUAUAGCAAUAUGGGGGGAGUGCUGAAGGAGCUAGGCUGGGUGAGCGAAGAAGUAUUGCAGGAAGUAAAGCUCUAUCAGCAGGGAAGGUAAUGACGGUACCUAAAGAAGAAGCACCGGCUAAAUACGUG